CCUACGGGGGGCUGCAGUGGGGAAUAUUGCGCAAUGGGCGAAAGCCUGACGCAGCGACGCCGCGUGAGGGAUGAAGGUCUUCGGAUCGUAAACCUCUGUCAGCAGGGAAGAACGGUCAUUGUGCUAAUCAGCAGUGAAUUGACGGUAUCUGCAAAGGAAGCACCGGCUAACUCCGUGCCAGCAGCCGCGGUAAUACGGAGGGUGCGAGCGUUAAUCGGAAUUACUGGGCGUAAAGCGCUCGUAGGCGGUAUGUCAAGUCAAGGGUGAAAGCCCCGCGCUCAACGUGUGAACUGCCUUUGAAACUGGCAAACUGGAGUGUGGGAGAGGAUAGUGGAAUUCGAGGUGUAGGAGUGAAAUGCGUAGAUAUCUGGAAGAACAUCAGUGGCGAAGGCGACUAUCUGGCACAUAACUGACGCUGAGGAGCGAAAGCGUGGGUAGCAAACAGGAUUAGAUACCCUGGUAGUC
rnacentral:rRNA from 1 species